GGGUCGUUAGCUCAGUCGGUAGAGCAGCUGGCUUUUAACCAGUAGGUCGUUGGUUCGAAUCCAACACGACCCACCA
rnacentral:tRNA from 1 species